UACAGAGGGUGCAAGCGUUGUUCGGAAUUAUUGGGCGUAAAGGGCGCGUAGGCGGUGCUGUAAGUCUGUAGUGAAAUCUCUGGGCUCAACUCAGAGUCUGCUAUAGAAACUGCAGUGCUAGAGUGUGGGAGAGGUGAGUGGAGUUCCCGGUGUAGCGGUGAAAUGCGUAGAUAUCGGGAGGAACACCUGUGGCGAAAGCGGCUCACUGGACCACAACUGACGCUGAGGCGCGAAAGCUAGGGGAGCAAACAGG
rnacentral:rRNA from 1 species